GACGAACGCUGGCGGCGUGCUUAACACAUGCAAGUCGAACGGAAAGGCCCUGCUUUUGUGGGGUGCUCGAGUGGCGAACGGGUGAGUAACACGUGAGUAACCUGCCCUUGACUUUGGGAUAACUUCAGGAAACUGGGGCUAAUACCGGAUAGGAGCUCCUGCUGCAUGGUGGGGGUUGGAAAGUUUCGGCGGUCGGGGAUGGAUUCGCGGCUUAUCAGCUUGUUGGUGGGGUAGUGGCUUACCAAGGCUUUGACGGGUAGACGGCCUGAGAGGGUGACCGGCCACCUUGGGACUGAGAUACGGCCCAGACUCCUACGGGGGGCAGCAGUGGGGAAUAUUGCACAAUGGUCGGAAGCCUGAUGCAGCAACGCCGCGUGCGGGAUGACGGCCUUCGGGUUGUAAACCGCUUUCGCCUGUGACGAAGCGUGAGUGACGGUAAUGAGUAAAGAAGCACCGGCUAACUACGUG
rnacentral:rRNA from 1 species